UCGAGGCGACGUGCUUUCUACUUGACCUUUACGUGCGUCAUAGUUUAACGUCCAUGUGUGUCGUAGUUUAACCCUUUCGCGCGUCGUCGUACAAAGGCAAAGCAACACAUUCAAUGUUAGCUACUUAGAAAAUGAAAAACAACCAAUUAUCCUACUCUAAAGUUUCUAAACAAUGUAGGCGGUAAUAAACAACCUAAAUA